GACGAACGCUGGCGGCGUGCUUAACACAUGCAAGUCGAACGGUGAAGCGCCUUCCUUUUUGGUGGGUGUGGAUGAGUGGCGAACGGGUGAGUAACACGUGAGUAACCUGCCCCCUUCUUCUGGAUAACCGCAUGAAAGUGUGGCUAAUACGGGAUAUUCUGGGUCUGUCGCAUGAUGGGUCUGGGAAAGAGAUUGUUUCGGUGGGGGAUGGGCUCGCGGCCUAUCAGCUUGUUGGUGGGGUGAUGGCCUACCAAGGCGGUGACGGGUAGCCGGCCUGAGAGGGUGGACGGUCACACUGGGACUGAGACACGGCCCAGACUCGUACGGGAGGCAGCAGUGGGGAAUAUUGCACAAUGGGCGCAAGCCUGAUGCAGCGACGCCGCGUGAGGGAUGGAGGCCUUCGGGUUGUGAACCUCUUUCGCCAGUGAAGCAGGCCUGCCUCGUUUGUGGGUGGGUUGACGGUAGCUGGAUAAGAAGCGCCGGCUAACUACGU
rnacentral:rRNA from 1 species